UAAUAGUGCAGGUAGCAAUACACUGUAUACUCGCGUAACUGGACCAAUUGUUGUUUAAGCGAUAUUUGAUAUCGUCAGCCGCGGGGACGCCGAAAGGCGUUUUUUUUUACC
rnacentral:ncRNA from 1 species